rnacentral:rRNA from 1 species
CCUACGGGAGGCAGCAGUGGGGAAUAUUGGGCAAUGGGCGCGAGCCUGAACCAGCGAAGUAGCGUGAAGGAUGACUGCCCUACGGGUUGUAAACUUCUUUUAUAAAGGAAUAAAUUGAUGCACGUGUGCCUUUUUGUAUGUACUUUAUGAAUAAUGAUCGGCUAACUCCGGUCCAGCAGCCGCGGUAAUACGGAGGAUCCGAGCGUUAUCUUGAUUUGUUUGGUUUAAAGUGAGCGUAGGUGGUUUGGUAAGUGAGUUGUGAAAGUUUGGGGCUCAACCGUAAAAUUGCAAAUGAUACUGGCAGUCUUGAGUACAGGUGAGGUAGGCGGAAUUCGUGGUGUAGCGGUGAAAUGCGUAGAUAUCACGAAGAACACCGAUUGCGAAGGCAGCUUACUAGACUGCCACUGACGUUGAUGCUCGAAAGUGUGGGUAGCAAACAGGAUUAGAUACCCGUGUAGUC